AUUGAACGCUGGCGGCAGGCCUAACACAUGCAAGUCGAGCGGAUGAAGGGAGCUUGCUCCUGGAUUCAGCGGCGGACGGGUGAGUAAUGCCUAGGAAUCUGCCUGGUAGUGGGGGAUAACGUCCGGAAACGGGCGCUAAUACCGCAUACGUCCUGAGGGAGAAAGUGGGGGAUCUUCGGACCUCACGCUAUCAGAUGAGCCUAGGUCGGAUUAGCUAGUUGGUGGGGUAAAGGCCUACCAAGGCGACGAUCCGUAACUGGUCUGAGAGGAUGAUCAGUCACACUGGAACUGAGACACGGUCCAGGCUCCUGCGGGAGGCAGCAGUGGGGAAUAUUGGACAAUGGGCGAAAGCCUGAUCCAGCCAUGCUGCGUGUGUGAAGAAGGUCUUCGGAUUGUAAAGCACUUUAAGUUGGGAGGAAGGGCAGUAAGUUAAUACCUUGCUGUUUUGACGUUACCAACAGAAUAAGCACCGGCUAACUUCGUG
rnacentral:rRNA from 1 species